UGGGGAAUUUUGGACAAUGGGGGCAACCCUGAUCCAGCAAUGCCGCGUGUGUGAAGAAGGCCUUCGGGUUGUAAAGCACUUUUGUCCGGGAAGAAAUCCUUUUCGAUAAUACCGAAGGGGGAUGACGGUACCGGAAGAAUAAGCACCGGCUAACUACGUUCCAGCAGCCGCGGUAAUACGGAGGGUGCGAGCGUUAAUCGGAAUUACUGGGCGUAAAGCGUGCGCAGGCGGUGAUGUAAGACCGAUGUGAAAUCCCCGGGCUUAACCUGGGAACUGCAUUGGUGACUGCAUCGCUGGAGUAUGGCAGAGGGGGGUAGAAUUCCACGUGUAGCAGUGAAAUGCGUAGAGAUGUGGAGGAAUACCGAUGGCGAAGGCAGCCCCCUGGGCCAAUACUGACGCUGAUGCACGAAAGCGUGGGGAGCAAACAGG
rnacentral:rRNA from 1 species